UCUUUGUUAAUAGGGGAGGGAUUGGAAAAUUGUGGCCAUUUUUGUAAAAAACAUUCGAGAUACCAAGGGAACGUUUCAUGCAAAGAUGAGCACAAUAAAGGACAGAAAUGGUAUGGACCAAAAAGAAGCAGGAGGUAUUAAGAAGAGGUGGCAAGAAUACACAUAUACAAAAAAGAUCUUCAUGACCCAGAUAACCACGAUGGUGUGAUCACUCACCUAGAGCCAGACAUCCUAGAGUCUGAAGUCAAGUGGGCCUUAGGAAGAAUCAUUUCGAACAAGGAUAGUGGAGGUGAUGGAAUUCCAGCUGAACUAUUUCAAAUCCUAAAAGAUGAUACUGUUAAAGUGCUAAACUCAAUAUGCAAGCAAAUUUGGGAAACUCAGCAGAGACCACGGGACUGGAAAAGGUCAGUUUUCAUUCCAAUCCCAAAGAAAGGCAAUGCCAAAGAAUGUUCAAACUACUGCACAAUUGCACUCAUCUCAAAUGCUAGCAAAGUAAUGCUAAAAAUUCUCCAAGCGAGGCUUCAACAGUACGUGAACUGAGAAUUUCCAAAUGUUCAAGAUGGAUUUAGAAAAGGCAGAGGAACCAAAGAUCAAAUUGCUAACAUCCACUGGAUCAUAGAAAAAGCAAUAGAAUUCCAAAAAAACAUCUACUUUUGCUUCAUUGACUAUGCUAAAGUCUUUGACUGUGUGAAUCAUAACAAACUGUGGAAAAUUCUUAGAGAUGCAAAUACCAGAUCACCUGACCUGCCUCCUGAGAAACCUGUAUGCAGGUCAAGAAGCAACAGUUAGAACCGCACAUGGAACAACAGACUAGUUCAAAAUUGGGAAAGGAGUACAUCAAGGUUGUAUAUUGUCAUCUUGCUUAUUUAACUUAUAUGCAUUAAAAUUAUGCAAAAUGCCAAGCUGGAUGAAGCCCAAGCUGGAAUGAAGAUUGCCAGGAGAAAUAUCAAUAACCUCAGAUAUGCAGAUGACAACACCCUUAUAGCAGAAAGUGAAGAGUAACUGAAGAGCCUCUUGAUGAAAGUGAAAGACGAGAGUGAAAAAGCUGGCUUAAAACUCAACAUUCAAAAAAACUAAGAUCAUGGCAUCUGGUCCUAUCACUCCAUGGCAAAUAGAUGGGGAAAUAAUGGAAACAGUGACAAACUUUAUUUUCUUGGGCUCCAAUAUCACUGCAGAUGGUAACUGCAGCCAUGAAAUUAAAAGAAGCUUGCUCCUUGGAAGAAAAGCUGUGACCAACCUAGGCAGCAUAUUAAAAAGCAGAGACAUUACUUUGCCAACAAAGGUCUGUCUAGUCAAAGCUACGGUUUUUCCAGUAGUCAUGAUGUGAGAGUUUGACCAUAAAGAAAGCUGAGUGUUGAAGAAUCAAUGCUUUUGAACUGUGGUGUUGGAGAAGAUUCUUGAGAGUCCCUUGGACUGCAAGGAGAUCCAAUCAGUUCAUCCUAAAGAAAAUCAGUCCUGAAUAUUCAUUGGAAGGACUGAUGCUGAAGCUGAAACUCCAAUACUUUGGCCACUUGAUGGAAGAACUGACUCAUUGGAAAAGACUGAUACUGGGAAACAUUGAAGGCAGGAGGAGAAGGGGACAACAGAGGAUGAGAUGGUUGGAUGGCAUCACCGACUUGAUGGAUAUGAGUUUGAGCAAGCUCUGGGAGUUGGUGAUGGACAGAAAGCCUGGUGUGCUGCAGUCCCUGGGGUUGCAAAGAGUUGGACACAACUGAGCAACUGAACUGAACUGACAGCCACAGGGGUAAGAACUGAGUGUGAGUGGGAAGAGCGAGUUGGUGAUCAUGAACAACCGGAAGCAGCAGACAUUUUUUUCACAGCAAGCUACCAACCAUCCCACCAAACCGCUGACGUCACUUGAGUGACAGAAGUGAAAGUACAGAUAGCUAAACUGCAAACUGUAAGAGGAAUUAGGUUGGACGCUUAAAGCCUAAUUAAAAGUCAAGUAACAAAUUACCCUUCAAUACACACAAAGAAGUCUAUUUUGAAGAACGACCCAUGGCCACCAUCUUUGGGAGAGAGCAGCCCUACUUACUUUACUGCCAGUGAGCUGACUGAGAUGUGGUUUUAGUUCAUCACCAAUUACUGCAUGAACAGCCACCAGGCAGAAGACACAAGCUUUCCGAACACUGCUCUCCGAAUUAUCGUAACCCUGGGAAGAAAUCCUUGUUAGUACUCCUGCGGGAUUUGAGAAAAGCACCAUUGCACAGAAACAGAAGUGUAACUCAGAGAGGAGAUGUCACGUGUGCUGACGAGAGAGAGUUUUACUGACUGGGUAAAGUUAAUAUCUCACCUUUUCAGGCAGAGACGUCCCUUUCUCUCCUCCCUUUCCCCUUGAGCAGCCCCAUUCCACUGUCAGCCUGUUUUAUCAGGGUCUUUCUUAUUCAGCCUGGUAAGCUACAACCUCUGGCUGCAAAAGUCUCUGAAUUAACCUUUCUAAAGCCUUCAGCUUUUGGAUAUUUAGCAGCUUCUCACGAAUGAUAAAACCAAACCUCCCUGGCCUGGCAGUCAGGGUGCUCCUCUAAUCCAAGCUGAAUUAGAUUAACAUCUGGACCAUCCCUACCAUUACUCUAAGUUAUUUAUCCAACAAACAUUUAUUCAUGUCCACUACUAUAUGUGUGACACAUACCUAUUAUGUAUAUUCUGUUCUUAGCACCAAAGCACAGAUAAAGAAAGAAGACAUUUGGAUCUUAUCUUCAAGGACCUCACAACUUAGUAGCUGCAGCUUAGAACAGUCACAAAGCUAAUACUAUAGAUGCACAAAGAAAUGAAUGAUGGCAUCUUACACACACACUAUUUAAUAUUAGUCAUUAAAAUUAUACUAUAGCAUAUUAUUUAUUAGAUUGGAAUAAGAAAAGGUUCCAUUCUAUAGAAAAGGUUCCUAGUCUUUGAUUAACUUAAGCAAAUCAUGUCACAAAAUAAGAUCCCAUUUUUCUUAAAGAGUUUUUCAUAUGUCUGGGUUUGUAUGCAUAGACAAAACCACAUUACAUGCUCAGUUACUACACUAAACAGUAAGUUUUGUGUUAUGUGUAUGCUACCCCCCGACCCCUACACACACACACACACACAGAGCUACUAUGGGAAGUCUUUUGCUCUGAACACCUAAGACAGCAGGAAGGUUUGGUCAUGACACUGGUGUUGCCUGGCAAGUGCCUAAAAUAACUGAAUCCCCAGUGUAUCAACACAACUUCUUUUGAACCAAGUUUUACUGCUUACCUGUAUUAGGCCUGGCAUGAUCUCUGGCAAAAGCAGGUUAAGGGUUUCCUUGGACACUCUCUCGAUCACUUUUGUUUGCAUUUUGAUGGCAGCCAGGUUGAUGGGGUAGUCUGCAGUCUGGAUGAUGGGACACAGCACUUUGAUGCACUGUUCCGGGCUGAUAGAUGUGGCCAACACUGAUGCGGCCUCCUCAGCAGAUCUCACCACCUAGGACAGAAGGCAGUGCUGAGCAGGGAAAUGACUGUAAAAUGUAUGCUAUGUCCUGGAUGUGCACAUUUCAUGAAAUACAUAAUACAACAUG